rnacentral:rRNA from 1 species
GAUGAACGCUGGCGGCGUGCCUAAUACAUGCAAGUCGAGCGAACAGACGAGGAGCUUGCUCCUCUGACGUUAGCGGCGGACGGGUGAGUAACACGUGGAUAACCUACCUAUAAGACUGGGAUAACUUCGGGAAACCGGAGCUAAUACCGGAUAAUAUAUUGAACCGCAUGGUUCAAUAGUGAAAGACGGUUUUGCUGUCACUUAUAGAUGGAUCCGCGCCGCAUUAGCUAGUUGGUAAGGUAACGGCUUACCAAGGCAACGAUGCGUAGCCGACCUGAGAGGGUGAUCGGCCACACUGGAACUGAGACACGGUCCAGACUCCUACGGGAGGCAGCAGUAGGGAAUCUUCCGCAAUGGGCGAAAGCCUGGCGGAGCAACGCCGCGUGAGUGAUGAAGGUCUUCGUAUCGUAAAACUCUGUUAUUAGGGAAGAACAAAUGUGUAAGUAACUAUGCACGUCUUGACGGUACCUAAUCAGAAAGCCACGGCUAACUACGUG